rnacentral:rRNA from 1 species
GGGUGAGUAACACGUGGAUAACCUACCUAUAAGACUGGGAUAACUUCUGGAAACCGGAGCUAAUACCGGAUAAUAUUUUGAACCGCAUGGUUCAAAAGUGAAAGACGGUCUUGCUGUCACUUAUAGAUGGAUCCGCGCUGCAUUAGCUAGUUGGUAAGGUAACGGCUUACCAAGGCAACGAUGCAUAGCCGACCUGAGAGGGUGAUCGGCCACACUGGAACUGAGACACGGUCCAG